GGGGKYUUWMCCMMKGGCMAGGUCSGAACGAUGGAAGCCCAGCUUGCUGGGUGGAUUAGUGGCGAACGGGUGAGUAACACGUGAGUAACCUGCCCUUAACUCUGGGAUAAGCCUGGGAAACUAGGUCUAAUACCGGAUAGGAGCGYCYACCGCAUGGUGGGUGUUGGAAAGAUUUAUCGGUUUUGGAUGGACUCGCGGCCUAUCAGCUUGUUGGUGAGGUAAUGGCUCACCAAGGCGACGACGGGUAGCCGGCCUGAGAGGGUGACCGGCCACACUGGGACUGAGACACGGCCCAGACUCCUACGGGAGGCAGCAGUGGGGAAUAUUGCACAAUGGGCGMAAGCCUGAUGCAGCGACGCCGCGUGAGGGAUGACGGCCUUCGGGUUGUAAACCUCUUUCAGUAGGGAAGAAGCGAAAGUGACGGUACCUGCAGAAGAAGCACCGGCUAACUACGUGCCAGCAGCCGCGGUAAUACGUAGGGUGCGAGCGUUAUCCGGAAUUAUUGGGCGUAAAGAGYUCGUAGGCGGUUUGUCGCGUCUGUCGUGAAAGUCCGGGGCUUAACCCCGGAUCUGCGGUGGGUACGGGCAGACUAGAGUGCAKUAGGGGAGACUGGAAUUCCUGGUGUAGCGGUGGAAUGCGCAGAUAUCAGGAGGAACACCGAUGGYGAAGGCAGGUCUCUGGKCUGUAACUGACGCUGAGGAGCGAAAGCAUGGGKAGCGAACAGGAUUAGAUACCCUGGUAGUCCAUGCCGUAAACGUUGGGCACUAGGUGUGGGACCAUUCCACGGUUUCCGCGCCGCAGCUAACGCAUUUAGUGCCCCGCCUGGGGAGUACGGCCGCARGGCUAAAAYUCAAAGGAAUUGACGGGGGCCCGCACAAGCGGCGGAGCWUGCGGAUUAAUUCGAUUGCACGCGAKAACCUUUACCWAGGCUUGACAUGUUCUCGAUCGCCGUAAAGWUACGGUUUCCCCUUUGGGCGGGUUYCACAGGUGGUGMAUGGUU
rnacentral:rRNA from 1 species